AAGUCGUAACAAGGUUUCCGUAGGUGAACCUGCGGAAGGAUCAUUAUUGAAACAUUGUGAAGGAGGUUGAGCUGGCCCUUCUAGGGCAUGUGCUCGCCUUCUUUCAAUAUUCAUCCACCUGUGCACAUUUGGUAGAGGAUCUGGAAUAAAGACGCAAGUCUUUUAGUACGGGUCUUCUAUGUUUUACACACCCUUUAAUGUAUGUCUAGAAUGUUUGUUUAUUGGGACUUAAUUGGCCCAUUAAAACUAUACAACUUUCAGCAACGGAUCUCUUGGCUCUC
rnacentral:misc_RNA from 1 species